rnacentral:rRNA from 1 species
UCCGGCAGCCAUAUCACCCUGUAGCCCAAGACUGGUUGCCCACUGAAGCUAAGCAGGGCUGAGCCUGGUCAGUAGGUUUCUUGCCAUGCUGCGGACGCAA